UGGGGAAUAUUGCACAAUGGGCGCAAGCCUGAUGCAGCCAUGCCGCGUGUAUGAAGAAGGCCUUCGGGUUGUACAGCACUUUCAGCGGGGAGGAAGGCGGUGAGGUUAAUAACCUCAUCGAUUGACGUUACCCGCAGAAGAAGCACCGGCUAACUCCGUGCCAGCAGCCGCGGUAAUACGGAGGGUGCAAGCGUUAAUCGGAAUUACUGGGCGUAAAGCGCACGCAGGCGGUCUGUCAAGUCGGAUGUGAAAUCCCCGGGCUCAACCUGGGAACUGCAUUCGAAACUGGCAGGCUAGAGUCUUGUAGAGGGGGGUAGAAUUCCAGGUGUAGCGGUGAAAUGCGUAGAGAUCUGGAGGAAUACCGGUGGCGAAGGCGGCCCCCUGGACAAAGACUGACGCUCAGGUGCGAAAGCGUGGGGAGCAAACAGG
rnacentral:rRNA from 1 species